AUGCUAAUCAUUGCUCAUCGACUUAAUACGAUCAUUGACUGUGACCGGAUCCUUCUGCUUGAUUCUGGCCAGGUACUGGAAUAUGAUACACCAGAGGAACUGUUAUCAAAUGAAGAUAGUGCUUUCUCUAAGAUGGUUCAAAGUACAGGGGCUGCAAAUGCUCAGUACUUGCGCAGUUUAGUACUAGGAGGGGAAGGAGAGAGUAGGUUUAGAACACGAGAGAACAAACAGUUAGAUGGGCAGAGGAAAUGGCUGGCCUCUUCUCGUUGGGCUGCUGCUGCACAGUUUGCCAUUGCUGUUAGCCUUACUUCAUCACAUAAUGACCUUCAGCGGUUGGAAGUUGCGGAUGAGGACAGUAUCCUGAAGAAAACAAAGGAUGCAGUGGUAACUUUGCAAGGAGUGUUGGAAGGGAAGCAUGACAAAGUAAUUGAUGAAUCAUUAAAUCAAUACCAAAUUUCCAGAGAGGGCUGGUGGUCAGCUCUUUACAAGAUGGUUGAAGGUCUGCUCAUCAUGGCAAGAC
rnacentral:misc_RNA from 1 species